CACGUAGGGGGCAAGCGUUGUCCGGAUUUAUUGGGCGUAAAGAGCUCGUAGGCGGCUUAGUAAGUCGGGUGUGAAACCUCCAGGCUCAACCUGGAGACGCCACCCGAUACUGCUGUGGCUAGAGUCCGGUAGGGGAGCGUGGAAUUCCUGGUGUAGCGGUGAAAUGCGCAGAUAUCAGGAGGAACACCAGCGGCGAAGGCGGCGCUCUGGGCCGGUACUGACGCUGAGGAGCGAAAGCGUGGGAGCAAACAGG
rnacentral:rRNA from 1 species